rnacentral:rRNA from 1 species
AAAUUGCCCUGAUGUGGGGGAUAACCAUUGGAAACGAUGGCUAAUACCGCAUGAUGCCUACGGGCCAAAGAGGGGGACCUUCGGGCCUCUCGCGUCAGGAUAUGCCUAGGUGGGAUUAGCUAGUUGGUGAGGUAAGGGCUCACCAAGGCGACGAUCCCUAGCUGGUCUGAGAGGAUGAUCAGCCACACUGGAACUGAGACACGGUCCAGACUCCUACGGGAGGCAGCAGUGGGGAAUAUUGCACAAUGGGCGCAAGCCUGAUGCAGCCAUGCCGCGUGUGUGAAGAAGGCCUUCGGGUUGUAAAGCACUUUCAGUCGUGAGGAAGGUAGUGUAGUUAAUAGCUGCAUUAUUUGACGUUAGCGACAGAAGAAGCACCGGCUAACUCCGUGCCAGCAGCCGCGGUAAUACGGAGGGUGCGAGCGUUAAUCGGAAUUACUGGGCGUAAAGCGCAUGCAGGUGGUUUGUUAAGUCAGAUGUGAAAGCCCGGGGCUCAACCUCGGAAUUGCAUUUGAAACUGGCAGACUAGAGUACUGUAGAGGGGGGUAGAAUUUC